rnacentral:rRNA from 1 species
CAGUAGCCACGGGAACACGAAGGGUGCAAGCGUUACUCGGAAUUACUGGGCGUAAAGCGUGUGUAGGUGGUUGUUUAAGUCUGUCGUGAAAGCCCUGGGCUCAACCUGGGAAUUGCAGUGGAUACUGGGUCACUAGAGUGUGGUAGAGGAUAGUGGAAUUUCCGGUGUAGCAGUGAAAUGCGUAGAGAUCGGAAGGAACAUCUGUGGCGAAGGCGACUAUCUGGGCCAACACUGACACUGAGGCACGAAAGCGUGGGGAGCAAACAGGAUUAGAUACCCCCGUAGUCACUGUCUCUUAUAC